ensembl:rRNA 5S_rRNA 5S ribosomal RNA
UCUAUUAGUCAUAUCACCAUGAAUGUGCCCUAUCUCAUCUGAUCUUAUGAACUUAAGCAGGGUCAGGCCUGAUUAGUGCUUGGAAGGGUGACUUCCAAGCACUAAUCAGGAAUUCCUCGGA